GGCCUCCUGGUACUUACCACAGGCUGUGUUCUUACACUGACAAUAUAGAAAGAGGAGGUAGAGUAAGCAUACCACAUGUACACCCAGCCCAAGCCCUGUGCCUGGUCUGCAUUGAAUGGGGAAUCAUGG
ensembl:snoRNA